AAAUGGUGUAUGUGGAGUGAAGCAAAACUGCAAGGACCACGAUUGAGUGGCUGUGAAGAAUAAGGCUGGAGAUGGUAAUCAUUGUGCCUAGCAGAGAGAAAGACUUCAUGAAAUGUUAACAAUGGCCCCAUUACCUAUCCUAUUCCACUCUUGGAUGCUGCUACAAUUUGUAUUAUCUGACACUGAUUCAGGGAAAGAGGUGCUGUUGAAGAAGAGUGGGGUGAAAAUUGAGGAUAAAGGGGUGGCUUCAGCUGCCACGAAUACAACUCUCUCUCAGUAAAGGAGAUGACUGCUGGCUUUCUGAUUCAUGGGCCAGACUUUUGGCAGAAGUGGGUGGCAACAUUUUUCUACCUUACUCCUGCAUGCCCUGGAACCUCUCAAAGCCUGGAAUUGGAAUGGUCAUGAGCUUGUUGAUGACUUUUGAUGGCCAGUGACUGAUAAUUCUUGCACAGAUUGGCAAACUGCUGAUGGGCAUUUCUUAUUCCCAGUGCCAAAAAAUAACUUUAUGUAUUGUGACUUUAUACCUUUUCUGUGCUUAAAUGGAAGUAUGACCAUGAAGUUUGGGUAGAGAUAAGGUUUCACCAUAGCCUAAAAGCCCACAGGCAUUGCUGGCAAUACAACAAAGGUGAAACUGUAAUAGUUUUAUUCUCAUCUCAUAGCAUUCAAAAUCAGUUUUAGAGAAAUGUGUUUUAAUAUAUUCCUCAGUCUUUUCUUCACUUAGUCAACAUGACUUCUAUAAGUAAUGCACAAAUAGCAUGUACCCAGUAAAUCAAAUCCUAGUUGAAAAUUAUCGACCAGCAUGACCAACAUGGAGAAAACCCAUCUCUACUAAAAAUACAAAAAUUAGUUGGGUGUGGUGGUGCAUGUCUGUAAUUUCAGCUACUCGGGAGGCUGAGGCAGGAGAAUCACUUGAACCCGGGAUACAGAGGUUGCAUGAGCUGAGAUCGCACCAUUGCACUCCAG
rnacentral:lncRNA from 10 species